UACGUAGGGUGCAAGCGUUAAUCGGAAUUACUGGGCGUAAAGCGUGCGCAGGCGGUGAUGUAAGACAGUUGUGAAAUCCCCGGGCUCAACCUGGGAACUGCAUCUGUGACUGCAUCGCUGGAGUACGGUAGAGGGGGAUGGAAUUCCGCGUGUAGCAGUGAAAUGCGUAGAUAUGCGGAGGAACACCGAUAGCGAAGGCAAUCCCCUGGACCUGUACUGACGCUCAUGCACGAAAGCGUGGGGAGCAAACAGG
rnacentral:rRNA from 1 species